GGGGGGACAGGCAGACUGUUUAAAUGGUUCUCAACUCAGGCUGCACAUUAUUGAUAAUGUUAUAUCCUACCAACGAGGACCAAUCAAAUUCUGACCUCAGGGGGUGAGCUCAGGUGCUAGUAUGUUUUCCCGAAUCACAGGGAAGGGUGAGAACCACUGCGGGUCAACAGGCAGCCAGCAGCUGUUCUUGAGGAAAGUGAGCAACAGUUGUUGGCCUCUGCUUUCCCCAGGCCAUCAGGUAGAGGUGCCCGAUUCCCAUUCAGCUCAGAAUCCCUGUGUCCACAUCGCCAUGGUUUCUAGAACUAGUCUUUCACACCCUGUUCCAAUGAGCCUAGUGGUGCUGUCAGUUCACCCUCCCCUUGGGCCUGGUCUUCAAUUUCCUGAUUGCUCUUCGACUACCUUCCUGGUUUCUCAGCCUGCUGAGACCUUUUGGUACGUGGGAUCUUCUCAGCUGCCAAUCUGUGACCCUUAG
rnacentral:lncRNA from 1 species